UGUGUGUGUGUGUGUGUGUUUCCUUGAUUCUUUAUUUUUGCUUAUUUGCUACUGUAAGUUGGAAUGCUUUUUAUAUAUCUAUUUCACAUAGUCUGCUAUAGGUUUGUAUAUUGGUAUUGUAUCCCUCAGCUUUUAAAAUCUUUUUUUCCUGAUCGUUUUCAGCAGUCUUUGAGAGUUUCUAUGUCUACAUCAUGCCAUCUACAAGUAAUAAAAAUCAACAUCAUCACCAUCACCUUCAUCUCCGUCUUCAUCAUCAUUAUUGUUAUUUUCUGGUGCUGGAAAAGACAGAGCCUUGUACAUGAUAAGUUUGUGCUCUACCACCUGGACUUUUACCCAGGUCCCUGAGAUUUGGCCUUCCUUCCUUGGAUACGCUGCCUCGUGUUUAUUGAAUCUCUAUCCUUGCUUCGCUGUAAUGAAUCUUACUUGAUCACAGUAGAUAAUCUUUAAUGUGCUGUGUUAAUGGCUUGUUGGUAUUUUGCAUCUGUGUGUUUCAAGGUAUUGGCCUGUAGGUGUGUUUAUGUCUUUGUUAAUUUUAACUAGGGUCAUGAGUCCUUGUAAGGUGGAGGAAUUCCCUCUUUUUCUUUUUUACUUUUAUUUUUCACAAAGGGGAAUAACUUCAGAAGAAUUGGCCAUAGUUCUUUCUAUGCUUGGGAGGUUUCAGUGGUGUAGCCAUCUGAUCAUUGGCUUUCCUUUGGGAAACGCUUUACUGUGAACUCAGUCUCAUUUUUCAUCAUUAGUUUGCUCGAGAUUUCUGUUUCAUUGAGAUUCAGUCUCCAAAAUGCGCCUGAAUUAAAGAAUUCUCCAAUUUCUUGCAACUAUCAAAUUUAUUGGCAUAUAGUACCUUAUACCCACUUUUUAAAAAUACCUUACCCUGAAAUUAGCAUAUAAUCACUUCCCUUCUCAAGGAUAAACACUAGAAGAGUUCCAGAAUUGAAGGCGGUAGAGGUAGAGUUGGAUUGUAGCCAGCCACUAACUUACCUGUCUUCCUUUUCCAUGUCACAGAAGAAUAAAGGAGGUUGGGCUGCGAACAUACCCUGUGUGGCACAGUCUGCGAGCUGCAGAAUCCACUUUGAU
rnacentral:lncRNA from 1 species